CCUUCUCUCUGAAAAGUGGGAUACUUCAAUAGCUUUUACACUCUAAUUGAAAGAGAAAAUGUCAGUUUCUUCAUUUAUUGGAGUUUUGGCAAUCUUUGCUCUACUCUUUGCUAUUGUUUCGCCUCCUACUUUGGCUUUGUAUCCGGCUCCUGUUCCUGCUGUCAUCAAUAUUCAACCAUGUGAAAGUUUAAGCAAAACUUGGCACGGGAGAUGUAGGAGCACAGGACACUGUGAUAGGCAUUGCAGGAACCAGGAGCAGGCAGAACAUGGGGCAUGUCAUGGGUUUUGGCGUAAAAAAUGCUAUUGCUAUCGCGACUGUGCUUGAGUACAAGACAAUGAAAACGCAUUGAGAUGCGUAAAAAGACUCUUUUAACAGCAGUUAUUGCAACUCGCAUAAUAAAUGACAAUUUUCUAUGUUGAAAUAAGUGGCUCAUAUUCUCUUAGGCAUAUAGAGUAAUACGAGAAUACCAAUAUAGUGAUCAGUUGAUGGAGCAUCGCGACGUUGUCCUUACAGUAAGGUUUGUUAUAAAUAUGUUAUACUGUAAUUUAAAUUAUUAUUGAAUAUAGUCGCAUUCUUGUAGA